GACGAACGCUGGCGGCGUGCCUAAUACAUGCAAGUAGAACGCUGAAGGAGGAGCUUGCUUCUCUGGAUGAGUUGCGAACGGGUGAGUAACGCGUAGGUAACCUGCCUGGUAGCGGGGGAUAACUAUUGGAAACGAUAGCUAAUACCGCAUAAGAGUGGAUGUUGCAUGACAUUUGCUUAAAAGGUGCACUUGCAUCACUACCAGAUGGACCUGCGUUGUAUUAGCUAGUUGGUGGGGUAACGGCUCACCAAGGCGACGAUACAUAGCCGACCUGAGAGGGUGAUCGGCCACACUGGGACUGAGACACGGCCCAGACUCCUACGGGAGGCAGCAGUAGGGAAUCUUCGGCAAUGGACGGAAGUCUGACCGAGCAACGCCGCGUGAGUGAAGAAGGUUUUCGGAUCGUAAAGCUCUGUUGUAAGAGAAGAACGAGUGUGAGAGUGGAAAGUUCACACUGUGACGGUAUCUUACCAGAAAGGGACGGCUAACUACGUGCCAGCAGCCGCGGUAAUACGUAGGUCCCGAGCGUUGUCCGGAUUUAUUGGGCGUAAAGCGAGCGCAGGCGGUUAGAUAAGUCUGAAGUUAAAGGCUGUGGCUUAACCAUAGUAGGCUUUGGAAACUGUUUAACUUGAGUGCAAGAGGGGAGAGUGGAAUUCCAUGUGUAGCGGUGAAAUGCGUAGAUAUAUGGAGGAACACCGGUGGCGAAAGCGGCUCUCUGGCUUGUAACUGACGCUGAGGCUCGAAAGCGUGGGGAGCAAACAGGAUUAGAUACCCUGGUAGUCCACGCUGUAAACGAUGAGUGCUAGGUGUUAGACCCUUUCCGGGGUUUAGUGCCGUAGCUAACGCAUUAAGCACUCCGCCUGGGGAGUACGACCGCAAGGUUGAAACUCAAAGGAAUUGACGGGGGCCCGCACAAGCGGUGGAGCAUGUGGCUUAAUUCGAAGCAACGCGAAGAACCUUACCAGGUCUUGACAUCCCUCUGACCGCUCUAGAGAUAGAGCUUUCCUUCGGGACAGAGGUGACAGGUGGUGCAUGGUUGUCGUCAGCUCGUGUCGUGAGAUGUUGGGUUAAGUCCCGCAACGAGCGCAACCCCUAUUGUUAGUUGCCAUCAUUUAGUUGGGCACUCUAGCGAGACUGCCGGUAAUAAACCGGAGGAAGGUGGGGAUGACGUCAAAUCAUCAUGCCCCUUAUGACCUGGGCUACACACGUGCUACAAUGGCUGGUACAACGAGUCGCAAGCCGGUGACGGCAAGCUAAUCUCUUAAAGCCAGUCUCAGUUCGGAUUGUAGGCUGCAACUCGCCUACAUGAAGUCGGAAUCGCUAGUAACCGCGGAUCAGCACGCCGCGGUGAAUACGUUCCCGGGCCU
rnacentral:rRNA from 1 species